AUGCAUUAUUUUUUUCUUUUCUGCUUUUCCAGUUCCUCCAGGAGUGAUUCAAAAUGGAGCACGGGUUCUGAGCCGAGGGCUGUUCCCUGGCGUCCGGCCAUUGCCAAUCACUCCCAUUGGAAUGACGGCAGCCAUGAGCCUUCUGUCCCUCUACAAUGGUCCCUGUCUGAAGGAUACCAGACGCCCUCAGGACAGCACACUGGCCCUGCCUCCUCUUAUCCAUCCUCUCCACUGCAACCAGUGAGACCAUCCCAGUCACCAGUAGGAUACUCAGCUCUGGUAAGAUCCUCUAAGGCACCCUUUGCUCUGUGCCCUGACAGUCCGCAUUCCAUAGCCUGGAGUGGGAGCUCCUCACACCUGGUCCUGCCAGCCCUCCACAUGACUCCACCCAUCCCCUCCCAUGCCCACAUUGACUCCAGAUGCUUGGCAAAUUGCACUUCCCAGGGUGAUCCUGGUGUCCUCCUGGUAUCCUGAAGUCCUCUGCCUCUUUGCAUGGGCCAGCUCUCUGCCUUUCAGGCAUGUCCCCAAGUCUUCCUCUCUGUGUUCUGUUUCCAUGUUCUCUGCUAACCAGGCUAACUGUAGUUAACAUUCCCACACUCCAGCACUGCCCCUGAAUUCCUGUUCUGUCUGGCCAGCAGGACUCGUACCCUGUCCAUUUCUCUGCCCCAGAGCCUGCUGUAGCACCUGGCCUGCCUUGGUACCUUGGUUGAUGUGUCUUGGAUGGCUGGGUAGACAUGAGCUGUUUCUCAGAUCAUAGCUGCUUGCUCUGUAUGAGAGCCUUGAGUCCUCUUCUUCACUACAGCAAGACACAGGAUAGAGAGGAGCUAAGAACACUCAAGAGCUUUUGAAGACACAGUAUCCCCCACUCCCAUGCCUGCCCUCCCACCAAAGAGUGCCUGUGAGGCCUUGCUCACCACCCUGCUUGGGGGCUCCAGGAAGGAGAGGGAACACUUUGGCUUGGCUUGUUCAAGCCACAUCCAUGGUAGGUCCUCCAUCUUUGGAUGCUGCUACAGCUGUGGCCAGCUGGGCAAGGGACCCAGCUUCCUUCCAUUGAACUCCUGGCCCAGAACUGUCACAGCUCCGAGAGCUCUUAUAGUGUCUGGACAAAGAAGACAAGAGAGGAAGGGGCAGCCCUUCCCCUAGACUCCAUGGGACUUCCUCCAGGUCAGUCACCCCUUGGGGAGGGUGGGACAGCCAGUUCUCUCCUGCCUUCUGUCUACAGAAUGGAGCUGGGGCAGAACCCAGCUACCCUGUUCUUUGGCCAGGAUUUGGCUUCAUGCUUCUUGUAUGCCCACUGGCCACACCAGCACCCAUUUCUCCAUGGGAAAUUACACCACUCACAUCUCUGUACCGAUGCUCUCAGCACGGCUAAGUAAAAAAGUCUUCGUCAUCAUUGGGGAGAACUGAUGUUCUUGUUCGACUUCUAAUAGCAAUCAAUUCUGUCCUUAGUUCUUUGCUAAGCAGGCAUCAUUGAGGACAAUCAUAAUUUGUGAACCUGGUCACUGGCCUUGAAUUUGCACUUUCUCCAGUGGGUAAGAAUCAGAGCAUCUUGUUGCUGUUCUGCUCUCAGUCACAGAACAUGCUCAGUUGCACAAUGAAUGUGUCUAUUCCUGUCUGUGUUAGUGCAGCACCUAAGCUAAUGAGAAAACAAGCCCGCCCUCCCAGGGAAGGGCUGCUGGCUGGCCCCUUUGCUGACCUCAGUUAUUAAGACCACAUGGUUGGUGACAAACUAGGUUCCCAGCCCCAACUCUCCUGCUUACCAGCUGUGACCUCAGGCAAAUCACUAGCCCUCUCUGAGGCUCUGUUGGCGUAUCUCUAGGAUAUGAUAAUAAUAGUACCCAUCAUCCAGGUUAAGAGGAUUAAAUGAAAUGAUGCAUAAGAGAAGGGAUUAAUAUAUGGUGGAUCUAAGAGGCUCAAUAAACGAUUAUCAUUGUGUUGUUGUUGUUAUCACUAUUGUCUUAUCCUUAGAAAUUUAGAACUACAUAGUCUAGCCUCUAUUUCUGUUGACACUCACCAGUAUAAUAGCUACUAGAUAUAUAUGUGGUCACCAUAGAGCAUUUGAAAUAUAGAAUCCAAAUUGAGAUGGGCUGUAAGUGUUAAAUUCAUCCUAGACUUCAAAGACUAUGAUAAGGAAAAUGUAAAAAUAGCUCAUUAAUACAUUUUUAAAAUAUAAGUUGU
rnacentral:lncRNA from 1 species